rnacentral:rRNA from 1 species
AGCUAAGGUCCCAAAGUCACAGUUAAGUGGGAAACGAUGUGGGAAGGCACAGACAGCCAGGAUGUUGGCUUAGAAGCAGCCAUCAUUUAAAGAAAGCGUAAUAGCUCACUGGUCGAGUCGGCCUGCGCGGAAGAUGUAACGGGGCUAAACUGUGCACCGAAGCUGCGGCAGCGACACUAUGUGUUGUUGGGUAGGGGAGCGUUCUGUAAGCCUGCGAAGGUGGCCUGUGAGGGUUGCUGGAGGUAUCAGAAGUGCGAAUGCUGACAUAAGUAACGAUAAUGCGGGUGAAAAGCCCGCACGCCGGAAGACCAAGGGUUCCUGUCCAACGUUAAUCGGGGCAGGGUGAGUCGACCCCUAAGGCGAGGCCGAAAGGCGUAGUCGAUGGGAAACAGGUUAAUAUUCCUGUACUUGGUGUUACUGCGAAGGGGGGACGGAGAAGGCUAUGUUAGCCGGGCGACGGUUGUCCCGGUUUAAGCAUGUAGGCGGAGGUUCCAGGUAAAUCCGGUACCUUUUUAACGCUGAGGUGUGAUGACGAGGCACUACGGUGCUGAAGUAACAAAUGCCCUGCUUCCAGGAAAAGCCUCUAAGCAUCAGGUAACAUUGAAUCGUACCCCAAACCGACACAGGUGGUCAGGUAGAGAAUACCAAGGCGCUUGAGAGAACUCGGGUGAAGGAACUAGGCAAAAUGGUGCCGUAACUUCGGGAGAAGGCACGCUGAUAUGUAGGUGAAGCCCCUGCGGGUGGAGCUGAAAUCAGUCGAAGAUACCAGCUGGCUGCAACUGUUUAUUAAAAACACAGCACUGUGCAAACACGAAAGUGGACGUAUACGGUGUGACGCCUGCCCGGUGCCGGAAGGUUAAUUGAUGGGGUUAUCCGUAAGGAGAAGCUCUUGAUCGAAGCCCCGGUAAACGGCGGCCGUAACUAUAACGGUCCUAAGGUAGCGAAAUUCCUUGUCGGGUAAGUUCCGACCUGCACGAAUGGCGUAAUGAUGGCCAGGCUGUCUCCACCCGAGACUCAGUGAAAUUGAACUCGCUGUGAAGAUGCAGUGUACCCGCGGCAAGACGGAAAGACCCCGUGAACCUUUACUAUAGCUUGACACUGAACAUUGAGCCUUGAUGUGUAGGAUAGGUGGGAGGCUUUGAAGCGUGGACGCCAGUCUGCGUGGAGCCAACCUUGAAAUACCACCCUUUAAUGUUUGAUGUUCUAACGUUGGCCCCUUAUCGGGGUUGCGGACAGUGUCUGGUGGGUAGUUUGACUGGGGCGGUCUCCUCCCAAAGAGUAACGGAGGAGCACGAAGGUUAGCUAAUCCUGGUCGGACAUCAGGAGGUUAGUGCAAUGGCAUAAGCUAGCUUGACUGCGAGCGUGACGGCGCGAGCAGGUGCGAAAGCAGGUCAUAGUGAUCCGGUGGUUCUGAAUGGAAGGGCCAUCGCUCAACGGAUAAAAGGUACUCCGGGGAUAACAGGCUGAUACCGCCCAAGAGUUCAUAUCGACGGCGGUGUUUGGCACCUCGAUGUCGGCUCAUCACAUCCUGGGGCUGAAGUAGGUCCCAAGGGUAUGGCUGUUCGCCAUUUAAAGUGGUACGCGAGCUGGGUUUAGAACGUCGUGAGACAGUUCGGUCCCUAUCUGCCGUGGGCGCUGGAGAAUUGAGGGGGGCUGCUCCUAGUACGAGAGGACCGGAGUGGACGCAUCACUGGUGUUCGGGUUGUCAUGCCAAUGGCAUUGCCCGGUAGCUAAAUGCGGAAGAGAUAAGUGCUGAAAGCAUCUAAGCACGAAACUUGCCCCGAGAUGAGUUCUCCCUGACUCCUUGAGAGUCCUGAAGGAACGUUAAAGACGAUGACGUUGAUAGGUCGGGUGUGUAAGCGUAGCGAUACGUUGAGCUAACCGAUACUAAUGAACCGUGAGGCUUAACCUU